ACACGACUACAUUAGAUACCCGUGUAGUCCAGGGUGUAAACGCUGCGGGCUUGGUGUUGGGGGUCCUUUGAGGGCGCCCAGUGCCGGAGAGAAGUUGUUAAGCCUGCUGCUUGGGGAGUACGUCCGCAAGGAUGAAACUUAAAGGAAUUGGCGGGGGAGCACCGCAACGGGAGGAGCGUGCGGUUCAAUUGGAUUCAACGCCGGACAACUCACCAGGAGCGACGGUUACAUGAGGGCCAGGCUGAUGACCUUGCCUGAUUUUCCG
rnacentral:rRNA from 1 species